CGAUUGGCUGUUUGCUCAAUGACUUGAUCACAUGCUGGGCUCGGCAAAACCAUGACUUUGAUGUCUUUGUGCCACAAAGUCACCUGAAAGAAGCUGCUGGUGUGCUGAAGGGUGUGUGUCUUCCAGGUUGGUCAUUUCAGCCCAAUAUGCCGUCAAAUACCUUGCAUAAUUUACUUUGUCACAGGCAAAAAACCAGGGCAGCAUACUUUGCACAGUGGACAAAUGGAGAGCCCAGUUCCCCUCUCUUGUUGCCCUGAUGAAAAGAAGCAAAUCUUCCAUCAUGUCAAUGUAUGUGCUCCAAAAUGCAAAUGUGUGGUUACAGUUGUUUUUCACCACAAAUUCUUCAUAACCUUGCAGUAACUGCUGAAAUGUGUCUGAUGUUAGCAUGCCCUUGAACUCUUCAGAGGGAAAACACUCCUGCAGAUCUGUUGCCACUUUUAAAGCAGCUGCAUUUUGUUCUUGUGUGAGUGUGUCCAAGUAUGCCCACCAUCGCAGUUUCUGGAGUGCUUCCGUCAGGAGUUUGUGAGCCCGUAUGCUCCUGUUGUAGUGAUGGCCGGAGAUCACUCCAUCGAUUGAGCUCAAUCAAGAUGUCCUGAAAGCCUGCAUCACCAUACAACUUUCCUAUGCAUGACAGAUACGCCAUUGCUGUGUGGAACUCUCCCAUCCUCACUACGAUUCUCUCAGACUGUCAGCAAUGGCAAUGGAGCGGCUCAGGAUGGUGUGGACAGUGUUGAGAUCAGUCGGACUGGCGUCAAUCACUGGGAGGUAGCCAAUAUGUGUAGAUGGUGGUAGUACUGUGUCUUCCUUCAACAUUAUAUUAUACCCUGUCCAUCCAGGAAGGAUUUUGUGCUGGGCCUCAGGUACUUUCAGUAAAAAGAAUGCAGCAUCAAUUCUUCUACCGGUAGUUUGGGCAUAUCUGUAUUGGUCCUGAUGGAGAUCAGUCUUCAAUGCAAAGUUCUGUGGACCAGACCGCUUUCCUCUUGUGUAUGUUGAAAGAUUCAGUGGAGGAGGAUGAACCGACCGCUCUCGUGUUCUCUGUCUGGGUAAUGUGUCUGAUGAGCAAGGGCAGUAUCAUGCUCAAGGACCUGGGAAUUAGAUGAGCAGUGACCCAGACCAUUUAACAGCCCUAUAAGCUGUGCAGAGCCAGUCAUAUGCCGAACUGCCAUUGCAAUGACAUCAACACGUUCAUCUGAUGGUUGUGAUGACAUUCCUGAUAUCCAUGCAAUGAAGUUAAAAAGUUGGUGAGGCACUACACUCAUGCCAUUUUCCAGUGUGAGAUCACUUGCUGUUGGAGGCCAUGGUAGCUUUGGGUAUAUUUUUGAUGUAUUUUGAAUUAUUUCUUUAAGUCUCAUUGCUGCGUGAUAUAACUCCCGAGAAUCAUCCGUGGUGUU